rnacentral:tRNA from 1 species
UGGUGAAUAGCGCAGGUUGGUAGCGCAUCUCUGAUGUUAGGAAUAGCGGACCAGAGGGUCGGGGGUUCCCGAUAUUAGAACCUUGGCUCUUCACCAACCA